GGUGAUGCAACUGUUUUCUGCAGCCCCAACAAACAAUAGCAACAUAUAAUCAUUAAAGAAAAAGAAGCUAGCCAAAUUACAAUCCUGCAGUACUAGGCAGAAACUCAACUAUUUUUUAAGGUGUCAAAAAAACCAUACCGCAGUCUUGACAAGCUCAUCAGCAUAGGAGCUGGCACGAAUGGUGAGGGCAGAGGAGGCGGCGGAGUGGCACCGGACAAUUGAUGCAGAAGGCUGGCGGAGAGACUGACCUUUCACAAACUCAGACUUGUCAAGGACUGGAGAAGACUUGAGGAGUGAAGCUGAGGCCAUUUUUUUUUUCUGUUUUGCUGCUUUGGUUGAGAGGCUAACCGCUAAUGAGUAUAGAAGC